GUUAUAUAUGAUGUAAAGGUGUCAACUAGAUAGGCGGGAUGGUAGGUGAUAGGCCGAAGGGCCGUGGAUAGAGGGGAUAGGAGUGUGAACAGCAGGUAACACUGUUACAACAUCAAUGUAAAAGAGUCCCGGGAAAUAGAGAUAGAAGAGAAGAUGAUGAAAAUGAACAUCAUGAACGUGGAUGUGAACAGCGCCUGCAAAGUUGCCGGAGAAGAUGAACUUUGCGCUGUUCUCCGAAGUGACACACGAUGAGUCUGGCGAGGCUGGAGGUACUUGUGUCCUUUCCAAGGCUUCCAAUUCCGCAGGAGUUGACUCCUGCAGAGCUUUAUCAACCUCCGCAUCGAGCAGGUCAUCAACUGUCAGGUGCGCUUGUAUUUUCUGAACCCCUGAGACAGAAGUGAUAUGUGAUGACGAACCAGACAAGACCUAAAUCAAACCCACCUGAUCCCAGGACGUCACCAACUAUGGCCGGUACGUUACUGACCCAGCCCUCUUCCCACCGCCAUCUGGGCAUCAUCCUCACUCCUUCACUCCAUCUGUCCCCCAUAUUCAACACAUUACAAGCAAAUUUCGAGGUCGGGCUUUUCUUUUAAACCACAUGUCCAACUUCCUUCCUUUUCCUGCUGUGAAUCUUUUGUAUAAAUGUUAUGUUCGUCCCCUCCUUGAAUAUGCUGUUCCCGUUUGGAUGUUUUCCGUUUCAGCCACCAUGUCCACAACCCUUGAUAAACUGCAGGCUACUGCUGCUAGAGCAUACUUUUAACUAAAUAUACAGUUUCAGCUA